GUUGCUUCUUACUGGUGAACUCUCUUGAAAAAUGUGGGGGAUGUUCAUGUUUCCGAAGCAUAGAUCAAUUGAGAUUAAUAUCUUUGCCAGUUUUAAACAGCGUGGUGUGUUGAAUCUCGUUGCACUCCGCUACCUGUCUCCUGGUAUAUCU